rnacentral:rRNA from 1 species
UACGAAGGGUGCAAGCGUUAGUCGGAAUUACUGGGCGUAAAGCGUGCGUAGGCGGUUAUUUAAGUCUGUUGUGAAAUCCCCGGGCUCAACCUGGGAAUGGCAAUGGAUACUGGAUAGCUAGAGUGUGAUAGAGGAUGGUGGAAUUCCCGGUGUAGCGGUGAAAUGCGUAGAGAUCGGGAGGAACAUCAGUGGCGAAGGCGGCCAUCUGGAUCAACACUGACGCUGAGGCACGAAAGCGUGGGGAGCAAACAGG